CCUGGCAGCUCAGUUGGUAAAGAGUCUGCCUGCAAUGCAGGAGACCCAGGUUCGAUCCCUGGAUCAGGA
rnacentral:tRNA from 1 species